AUGAACGCUGGCGGCGUGCUUAACACAUGCAAGUCGAACGGUGAAGCCCAGCUUGCUGGGUGGAUCAGUGGCGAACGGGUGAGUAACACGUGAGCAACCUGCCCCUGACUCUGGGAUAAGCGCUGGAAACGGCGUCUAAUACUGGAUAUGUGACGUGACCGCAUGGUCUGCGUCUGGAAAGAAUUUCGGUUGGGGAUGGGCUCGCGGCCUAUCAGCUUGUUGGUGAGGUAAUGGCUCACCAAGGCGUCGACGGGUAGCCG
rnacentral:rRNA from 6 species